rnacentral:rRNA from 1 species
AGAACGCAGCGAAAAGCGAUAAGUAAUGUGAAUUGCAGAAAUUCAGUGAAUCAUCGAAUCUUUGAACGCACAUUGCGCCCAUUAGUAUUCUAGUGGGCAUGCCUGUUCGAGCGUCAUUU